UACGUAGGGGGCUAGCGUUGUCCGGAAUCAUUGGGCGUAAAGAGCGUGUAGGCGGCUCGGUAAGUCCGCUGUAAAAGUCAAAGGCUCAACCUUUGAAUGUCAGUGGAUACUGCCGGGCUAGAGUCCGGAAGAGGCGAGUGGAACUCCUGGUGUAGCGGUGAAAUGCGCAGAUAUCAGGAGGAACACCAAUGGCGAAGGCAGCUCGCUGGGACGGUACUGACGCUGAGACGCGAAAGCGUUGGGAGCGAACAGG
rnacentral:rRNA from 1 species